GACGAACGCUGGCGGCGUGCUUAACACAUGCAAGUCGAACGGAAAGGCCCUGCUUUUGUGGGGUGCUCGAGUGGCGAACGGGUGAGUAACACGUGAGUAACCUGCCCUUGACUUUGGGAUAACUUCAGGAAACUGGGGCUAAUACCGGAUAGGAGCUCCUGCUGCAUGGUGGGGGUUGGAAAGUUUCGGCGGUUGGGGAUGGACUCGCGGCUUAUCAGCUUGUUGGUGGGGUAGUGGCUUACCAAGGCUUUGACGGGUAGCCGGCCUGAGAGGGUGACCGGCCACAAUGGGACUGAGAUACGGCCCAGACUCCGACGGGAGGCAGCAGUGGGGAAUAGUGCACAAUGGGCGGAAGCCUGAUGCAGCAACGCCGCGGGCGGGAUGACGGACUUCGGGUUGUAAACCGCUUUCGCCUGUGACGAAGCGUGAGUGACGGUAAUGGGUAAAGAAGCACCGGCUAACUACGUGC
rnacentral:rRNA from 1 species